AUUUUCGGGUGGGGGCUACGGGGCUAUCUGCAGUCGACGCUUCUUUCCUCCCGAGUGCUUGCACUCAAUUGGAAAGAGGAGUGGCGGACGGGUGAGUAACACGUGGGUAACCUACCCAUCAGAGGGGGAUAACACUUGGAAACAGGUGCUAAUACCGCAUAACAGUUUAUGCCGCAUGGCAUAAGAGUGAAAGGCGCUUUCGGGUGUCUCUGAUGGAUGGACCCGCGGUGCAUUAGCUAGUUGGUGAGGUAACGGCUCACCAAGGCCACGAUGCAUAGCCGACCUGAGAGGGUGAUCGGCCACACUGGGACUGACACACGGCCCAGACUCCUACGGGAGGCAGCAGUAGGGAAUCUUCGGCAAUGGACGAAAGUCUGACCGAUCAACGCCGCGUGAGUGAAGAAGGUUUUCGGAUCGUAAAUCUCUGUUGUUAGAGAAAAACAAGGACGUUAGUAACUGAACGUCCCCUGACGGUAUCUAACCAGAAAGCCACGGCUAACUACGUGACAUCAGCCGCGGUAAUACGUAGGUGGCAAGCGUUGUCCGGAUUUUUUGG
rnacentral:rRNA from 1 species